rnacentral:rRNA from 1 species
UACAGAGGGGGCAAGCGUUAUUCGGAAUUAUUGGGCGUAAAGGGCGCGUAGGCGGCCUGGCAAGUGGAAGGUGAAAUCCCUGGGCUCAACCCAGGAACUGCGUCCGAUACUGGUUGGCUUGAAUCCGGGAGAGGGAUGUGGAAUUCCAGGUGUAGCGGUGAAAUGCGUAGAUAUCUGGAGGAACACCGGUGGCGAAGGCGACAUCCUGGACCGGUAUUGACGCUGAGGCGCGAAAGCCAGGGGAGCAAACGGG